CCUACGGGAGGCAGCAGUGGGGAAUAUUGCACAAUGGGCGCAAGCCUGAUGCAGCGACGCCGCGUGAGGGAUGACGGCCUUCGGGUUGUAAACCUCUUUCAGCAGGGACGAAGCGCAAGUGACGGUACCUGCAGAAGAAGCACCGGCCAACUACGUGCCAGCAGCCGCGGUAAUACGUAGGGUGCAAGCGUUGUCCGGAAUUACUGGGCGUAAAGAGCUCGUAGGCGGUUUGUCGCGUCGUCUGUGAAAACCAGCAGCUCAACUGUUGGCUUGCAGGCGAUACGGGCAGACUUGAGUAUUUCAGGGGAGACUGGAAUUCCUGGUGUAGCGGUGAAAUGCGCAGAUAUCAGGAGGAACACCGGUGGCGAAGGCGGGUCUCUGGGAAAUAACUGACGCUGAGGAGCGAAAGCGUGGGUAGCGAACAGGAUUAGAUACCCUGGUAGUCCACGCCGUAAACGGUGGGCGCUAGGUGUGGGUUUCCUUCCACGGGAUCCGUGCCGUAGCUAACGCAUUAAGCGCCCCGCCUGGGGAGUACGGCCGCAAGGCUAAAACUCAAAUGAAUUGACGG
rnacentral:rRNA from 1 species